UAGGAACCGUGAGAUUAAGCCAUCGCGGCAGGUGCUCACGUUAAGCCCACUGACUUUCAUGUCCCUAUCUACUAUCUAGCGAAACCACAGCCAAGGGAACGGGCUUGGAAUAAUUAGCGGGGAAAGAAGACCCUUUUGAGCUUGACUCUAAUCUGGCAGUGUAAGGAGACAUAAGAGGUGUAGAAUAAGUGGGAGAUAUUAGACUUCGGUUUGGUAUCGACAAUGAAAUACCACUACUCUUAUUGUUUCCUUACUUACUUGAUUAAAUGGAACGUGUAUCAUUUCCUAGCCAUUAUACGGAUAUAAUUAUUAUGUCUUAUGGUAUUGGGUUUUGAUGCAAGC
rnacentral:ncRNA from 1 species